ensembl:lncRNA
AAAAAAAAAAAAAGUUAAUAUCCCUAUUGUUUGAGAGAGGCUCAGAGAUAGCAAGUGGAUGGAUGGAAAGGCUUUUUUCCAGCAAUGUGAUUGCAUAGCUGCUCUAACAGAGUCCUAAUUGUAGGGCAGAGUAGGAGUACUACUUCUUCACGGGAAGAUGCAGAGCUUUAGGCUCACAGACCACUAUCCCUUCAUCAGGACACUGUUUAAAGAAGGUCAAAAACACUGACACCAAUGUUCAUCCAGGUGGACCCAAACCAAAUCCUCAUUCUGAAUCCCCAAUAUUCUGAGGAACCCGUGUGUAGAGUCAUACUGAAGAAAUGUCUGUAGUGAGCCAAAUGGACCCCUAGCUGGGGUCCAGGCCCAGUUCAAGAACUGAAGAAUUUAACCUUCAGAGAGUCCCUAUGAAACAUUGGUGUUUUUGUGGCUAUGUUUUGUUUUGGGAAAUUCCAACAUGGCUGCUUUUCUCCAUCGGCUUCCAACCUCUGCACAGCAGGUAUGGAUGGGUCUUUAGUUCUCUUCCCUUUGCAGGUGGCAGUUGAAGUGGAGUGAUGUUCUGUCUCCCUGUCAUGCUGACCACACAGUCACUGAUGGGUGGUAGAACAAAAUGGCUUUUUUUCUUUUUUUUCCUUCUUUACAUCAGAAGAGCUUUUCCCAGAUUUAGUGUGAUAUCUAACAAUGUGUCUCCUUAAGAAGAAUGUCUAGAGAACUAAUUGCACUGUUAAUUGGUGUUUAUAGAUAAGGUGAAGCAGAAGUAUUGAAUGUAAGAACAAGAAAGCCUGUGAGUUAUAAUUACAUGCUGAAUUCUGACAUGUAAAAUUGUUGUUAGUUUGCUUCUUAUUUAAAUUAUGUGUGAUCCAAGCAGUUUUACCACCGUGGCAGUACUAGUACAGCUGUGAUUAUCAAUUUAGAUGACAUCCAGGGUCUUCUAGAAAGAAGCCUGUGUAGACAAAUCUAUUCUCUGAACCAAUUCUGCUCCUUGAUAUUCUGAAUUCUAUGACACGGUCUAGUCUAGAAGCACAGGACAGGAGUAUCAGCUUGCUGACUUUGCUGUUGCCGGCCUUUGCCUAUUUUCUUAAUCACAAAUAAAAUUUCAAGCUAAGGCAAGUGGCUCUCAUCACAUAAGCCCGAGUUCUUCGUGCCACUCUUCUCUGAAGAGCGUGACCUGACUUCACUCAUAGCCCUGCACUCUGCAGCUCUCUGUGAGCCACCAGUCUGCCCAGAAGUGGUUUUGAGGGAGGGAGAUAUGCAGCUGAACUGGAACCUGAUCACGGAUUACUGUCUUAGGUCAUUCAUUGAGUUUGUAUGAUUUCAUCAUUAAUAACGAAGCUGCAAUAUAGUAUAACUGAGAGACCACAAUGUAUUUUCUAUUGCCAUUCAGUGGGUGGGGGUUGGAGGGGCAGCUGGGUUUAAAGUUUAGCUGGUAUACUUUAAACUCUGUGUACAUAACCUUGGAGGACACAUGGGUGGUAAGAGUUGUUGUUUUGUUGGAUUGGUAAAUUUCAUUUUGGUUUGGUUUAAAUAGUAAGGUAUUUAAUUAAUGUCAUUGUACAAAGAGCUAUUCAUUUAAACGAUGCAUUUGUUCUCCUAAAACAGAUCUAUCUAAACUUUCUUUUUGGCAAGCCUGCAGCAAUGCUACGCAUAGCAUUAUGUUGACUUUUGUACUUUGGGGGAGUACGUGGAAAGGGAGGGGAAAUGCUUUCCUCUUCAGACAAACAGUGUUUGCCCAUAGUUAACUUUCUGCUUGGGUAUAUAACUUGAGUUCCCUUUACUCCAAAUUUUCAUGUGAAGUUCUCUUAAAGGGACAGAACAAGCAGAGGUUAUGCCAAAAGAUCUCAAUUGUAUCAUCUUGUAAUAUAUUGCAGCUUUAUGCCAAUGAUUCCUUGCUUACCUGUACACAGUCCAUGCAUGUUUUCAACUAAUUUUGCAUUCUCCAUUUGUGGUGAGUUAUUUAGCAUUUUAACCACCUUUUGUGCCAUUCAACUUGUACAGAAAACAUUUUUAUUGACGUUUUAAAGGGAGGGGGAAGAAAAGAAAAAACCCUUCUGCUCCCUAGUUGUAGGUAGAACUCGAUUACUUAGCAAACAGAUGUAGAUGAGUGGUUGUAGUGUUAGAAAUGUUAGCUUGCUCGUGAACAAGCUUUUGAGAGUAAAUGCAUGGUCUUGUACUUCUCUUAAUUAGCUUUUCCUUUCCUCCUGGAAAGAUUCUCCCCCUCUCUAUUCUAUCUUUGUCUCUCUCGUGGUUGUAAAGUACAGAUUUGGGCAUAAAUAAAAUGAUAUACAAUAAGGUUUGAAAAGCAGUUCUCAACAGAUUCUUUUGGGGAACUUACUUCUCACUGCGCCCUGCCUUGGCACUUUGAUUAGACUCUUUCAAGAUAAAACAGAUGGAGAACAAUCACCUGUUGCCUCUGCUUGAACUGGGGAACAAGUUAAUCUUUGGAAGAUUGCAUCACUGGUAAACAAUGAGAUCUUGCUGAUCCAUUGCAGCUGAGGCAUGUGGCACGUGGGCUAUUGGCCGUGGCUUCCACACCUGGUUGUUUUACAUGGGACUCGUCCCACGGCCCCUGAUUUGCAGAGUUUGCACGCACUUUUUGAUUUUCCUGGAUACACAGCAAAGGGGAGAUAGUGGAUGAUACAUAGGAAUUACGUUGUUAUGGGUUCUGCAGGCAGCUCCUUCUCCACACUCCCAAGCUCUGGGUUGAGUACACAGGGCUUAUUAUUGUAUAGCCGUGGUUCUGUUGGCAAAGGAGGACAGGAAAUAAAGGCUAGGAAAAGACAGGGGGUCACACAUAAAGAUGGAUUUUGUAAGAAAUGGACUUAAAAAUCCCCCCCAAAACCCUGCCUCAAAACCACAAAGUCUACCUUGAUCCAUGCAUUUAUUCCCCAUGCCUCUUCUCCCUUAGCAGAAUUUCCUUUUGUUAGAAAAUUUGACUUUCUAGAAAAAAAAAAAAUCCAUUUUUGUGAGGUGUUGUGAACUGUUUUUACCACUUGUAAUAACCAUCCCAGGUCUGAGUAUUCUUGUAAUGCAAUGCCAUGCAGCAGAGAACCUGUCCACUUUAUAGCUUUGCUCUCAAUAUUUGUUACUCAUUGUUUUCUCAUCUAAAUGUACAUUUGCAAGAUGUGUGUAAUGUCAUUUUCAAAAAAUAAAAUUUGGUUUCAAUAUUUAGGCCGA